rnacentral:rRNA from 1 species
AUCCUGGCUCAGGACGAACGCUGGCGGCGUGCUUAACACAUGCAAGUCGAACGAUGACGGAGGAGCUUGCUCCUCCUGAUUAGUGGCGAACGGGUGAGUAAUACGUGAGCAAUGUGCCCUUGACUCUGGGAUAAGCGCUGGAAACGGCGUCUAAUACCGGAUACGACGAUCGGAGGCAUCUCCUGGUCGUGGAAAGAACUUCGGUCAAGGAUCAGCUCACGGCCUAUCAGUUAGUUGGUGAGGUAAUGGCUCACCAAGACGACGACGGGUAGCCGGCCUGAGAGGGUGACCGGCCACACUGGGACUGAGACACGGCCCAGACUCCUACGGGAGGCAGCAGUGGGGAAUAUUGCACAAUGGGCGCAAGCCUGAUGCAGCAACGCCGCGUGAGGGACGAAGGCCUUCGGGUUGUAAACCUCUUUUAGCAGGGAAGAAGCGAAAGUGACGGUCCUGCAGAAAAAGCACCGGCUAACUACGUCCACAGCC